AUUCUGAUUGAUCCUGCCUGUAGUUAUAUGCUUGUCUCAAGAUUAAGCCAUGCAUGUCUAAGUACACACGAAUUAACAGUGAAACCGCAAAAGGCUCAUUAUAUCAGUUAUGGUUCCUUAGAUCGUUAACAGUUACUUGGAUAACUGUGGUAAUUCUAGAGCUAAUACAUGCAAUUAAAACACGGACCUUUUGGAACGUGUGCUUUUAUUAGGCUAAAACCAAGCGAUCGCAAGAUCGUUUUAUUGGUUGAACUCUAGAUAACAUGCAGAUCGUAUGGUCUUGUACCGACGACAGAUCUUUCAAAUGUCUGCCCUAUCAACUUUUGAUGGUAGUAUCUAGGACUACCAUGGUUGCAACGGGUAACGGGGAAUCAUGGUUCGAUUCCAGAGAGGGAGCCUGAGAAACAGCUACCACAUCUAAGGAAGGCAGCACGCGCGUAAAUUACCCACUCCCAUCUCGGGGAGGUAGUGACAAAAAAUAACAAUACAUGACUCAUAUC
rnacentral:ncRNA from 1 species